CAGCAUACAAAUUACAAUCCAUUAAAGAGAACUGUCCAAAUGGACGUCUUUGGGGAAAUAUCACCCCCCAACAAAUUAAAAGAAUUAUAGGAGAUGGCUCUCAAAUUAAUGAACUAGUUGAAAAGGAAAUUAUUCUGUAUGAAAACGAAGAUGUUGGCCCUUUCAUAGUCUAUAUUGAAUCCGCGGAGAAAUCUGAUCGUAAUAUAGGUAGAUUUAACAAUCUUAAAAUAGCAAGAGAAAUUUUUAACCUUCAUCUCAAGGACGUUAAAAAAAUUCACAACAAAGGUACAAACCGUAUAGCGAUAGAGUUUUUUAGAUAUGAAGCAGCCAACAAUCUCCUAAAAAACCAAUAUAUUUUAGACAAAGGUUUUAAGGUCUUCAUUCCAUUUAAUUUUGUCACAAGUAAAGGUAUUGUAAGGGACGUAGAUAUAGAUGAAGAUAUCGAAAAUAAUUUUGAAAAUAUAUGCAAAUCUUCAGCAAAGAUAAUUCAAGCCAAAAGACUUAAUCGUAAAAUAAUUGUAGAUAACAAGACUCAGUAUAAACCAACCGGUACUCUCUUAUUCACAUUUCGAGGGGUUCUUCUACCAAAGCACAUUUACUUUUAUGACCUUCCCCUUCCGGUAAACGUUUAUAUCCACCCUGUCACUCAAUGCUAUAAAUGCCUACUCUACGGACAUACCAGGAAAAAUUGCAAAGGCAGGGAAAAAUGUUUUAAUUGCGCAGACAAUGAAGAAACCGACGAUAGCUCAGACUUCCCCACUCAAUACUCGUGUACCCAGAAAUGUCAUUUCUGCAGAAAUGAACACACUACUUCGAAAAGCUGCCCCGAAUUCAAACGACAGCAAAACAUUAAACGGAUUAUGACGUACGAAAACUUAACCGUCUAUGAUGCCAACAAACUAUGCGCUAAAACCUACAAUAAUAAUGAAGUAUUUUCAUACCAACCAAACGAAUUCCCUUCUUUAAGAAAUAAUACGGUUAACAAGAAUGAUAAUUACACAUACACUAUAUCCCCUUCCCAAAGACGGCUAGCAGACUUCACCAACAAACGGUCUCAGGGGAACCCAACAAAAAAAGACUGAUCCACAAAAUCUAUGACAGACAGUCCCAUGACGACAAUAUUUACUUUCCUAAUUCUAGACCGGAAAGAAGACACGCUACAAAUUCCCCUAUAUUUGACGACCCAAUCUACAAUCAACAUUCCAGAACUACCAAAGAAAUAAAUGCCUCAAGUAAAAGUGCCCCUCAAGACAUCCCUCUGAACUUACCCUCGACCAGUACAUCUAAUUUAAAACGAUAUGAUGAUAACCCUACUUAUAUAUCCAUUAAGGAGCUAGUCUUAAAUUUACCAGAAGAAAAACAACAUGAAAUUAAAAACUUUAUCCUUAACUAUAUGAACCUAAGUAAUUAUACGGAUCUUGACGACCCUUGUUUUAAUUAAAUUUUAAUAUAACCAAAUAAAGUUCAAUUCAAAAUUAAAAAUACUUCAGUGGAACCUAAGAAGUAUCAAUUCAAACAGAUCGGAACUAAUCUCAUCAAUCAGGGAACAGGAUCCCGAUAUUAUUUUUUUAAAUGAAACCUGCUAAAUAAAGAAAAAAAAUUUUCAGUUAAAUCGUGUAAUAUUAUUAGACAAGACAGGGAUGAUGGAUAUGGGGGAAUAGCAACUUGCAUAAAAAACAUUUUUUUAUACAGAGAAAUAAAAAAAUUUAACGAUAACCAAGUUCAAUAUAUUAUAGUUAAAAUUGAUGAACUUAAUCUUAUCAACAUUUAUUCUAACUCUAAUAAUAAUAUCAACUCCCAAUUUUUAGAGGAGCUUUAUUCUAAUGUUCAGGGUCCCUCUAUAUUGAUGGGAGACUUAAAUUCACAUUAUCCCCUUUGGGAUUAUUGUACUCCAAACAAUGGAGGCAAACAUAUUAAUGAUUUCCUAUUUGACAAAGAGCUUGUAAUUCUAAAUGAUGGCUCUUCAACCCUACUUCAACCUCCCAAUCAGAAAAUGAGUGCGAUAGUCGAUUGUCAGUAGUGACAUAGCUUAUUCAUCAAACUGGAGAGUCUUGCCGGACUGUGGCAACAGUAACCACUUUCCCACUAUGACAGUAAUUAAAGAUAGAGAAUCCUACUCAAAAAAUUCUUUUGUACAUAAUUUUUCAUCGGUCAGAAAUUAUAGAAAAGCAGAUUGGGGACUAUAUAGAGACAAACCUAUAUUAGACUCUUUACAAUACAAAACUGAUAUGACUUUCGAAGAGAUAGAGACCCUUAUUAAUUCGGCGGCAGACAUCGCUAUCCCUUUGAAAACAAACAAAAAAGGUAAAACGGGGAAUGUUUGGUGGGACGAGGAAUGUAUUCUUAUAGUCAAACAACGUAAAGAAAAGCUAAAACAAUUUGAAAUUGCUCCUACACUUGAAAACUAUAUACAAGCAAAAAAAUAUAUUGCAAUUGCCAGAAGAAAACGCAAUAAAUUCAUAAAAUUCUGUUCGUCAUUAAAUAGAGAUUUUGGAAAAAAAUAAAAAAAUUUUCGAGCAUAAAUCAACACUCCAAUAGACCUAUCCUCGAUGACGACCUUCGUAAUGAAAUCUUAAAAAAAAUGGUAAUUUAUAAUGUGAUUCCAGGCUUUACUCUAAGUCCUAUAGAGGACCUAAACCCGUUUAUAUUACAAGAAUUAGAAAAUGUCCUAUUUAAGAAAAAUAUAUCUGCUCCUGGGUUAGACAAGGAACUUAUAAAAUGAUUCUUAAUCUGCCCUUAAAUAUAAAAUUAGGGCUGCUUAAAAUCAAUAAGCAAUGCCUAGAAGGACAAUCUCUCCCGAAAUCUUGGAAAAAAUAUAACUUUUUAAAUAUUCUAAAACCCAAUAAAGACCCAUACAUGGCGAAUAGUUAUAGACCGAUUGUUCUGUCCUCAUGCUAUAUCAAGCUCUUGGAAAUUAUGAUUAAGAAUAGAUUAGAGUGGUUAUUAGAAAAAAAAAUCAUUUAACUGGUCCCAGACAGGCUUCAGAUGGGAAUGGGAAUUAGUAUCAACACAUUGCAUUUAUAUCAUCUUUCAUCGAUCUAGCUUUCAAGCAAAAAGAAACAGUAUUAGCAGUAUUCUUAGAUAUAAAAUCGGCCUAUGACUCUGUUAAUAUAUAAAAGCUAUAUAACAAAUUAAACUCAUUACACAUUCCACAAGAGCUUAGCAAUUUAAUCUUUAGAAUCCUGGAAAACAGACUCCUUUAUACAAAAAGAAAUGAUGGUUCUUACAUUGGUCCAGGCCUUUCCACAUCAGGAUUACCACAAGGAUCACCUUUAAGUACAAUUUUAUUCAAUAUAUACACUAUAGAUCUUUUUAAUAUGUUAGAUGAAAGUUUCAUAUUACUAGGUUAUGCGGAUGACAUGGCUUUACUUUUAAAAGGGAACAAUAUCAUAUCUAUGGCUUCUAAAAUUAAUCAGGCUCUUAACACAAUCAACAUAUGGUUACUUAAUAACGACCUUCAACUCUCCCCUCAGAAAUGCGAAUGCGUUUGGUUCACAAAGGGUACUCGUAAAAUUCCUCCUCCCCCUGUAAAAAUCGAAAAUCACCCCCGUAUCAGAAUAAAAUCUAUAAAAAAGUCAUUCCGCCUUGUUUUGAGUUUGAUUAUUUUAACCAAAUAACCCCUAUAAAAACAUUAAACUUAAAUAUAAAAAAAUCUGACCCUGACAUAAAAGAAAAAUUCAAUCUUGCCACAGAAAAAUUUAAAAACACUUUUCACUUCGUAUAUACAGAUGCAUCUAAAAUUAGUAAUAGUAAUGGUCUUGGGGUUUACAUUCCUGAUAUAGAUUACAAAUUCUCUUCAAAACUACAAAACGAAAUAAGUAUAACUUCAGCAGAAAUAAUAGCAAUAUAUGAAGGGGUUACGGUUAUUUUGAAAAAAAAUCUUAAAAAUGGAAUAAUAUUUUCUGACUCUCUCAGUGCAAUCACAAAAUUAAAUACCAACAAUAUUAAAUACGCUUCAGAAUUUCUAACUCUUACGACCAAACAACUCAUAGUUAAUAGUUAGUUAAUAAUAAUGAUAAUAACAUUAUUUUAGCUUGGAUCCCAGGACACUCAGACAUAGUAGGUAACUCAGUUGUUGACUCUUUAGCAAAAAUAGGUACAAGCCUAAAUAUUCCAAAAACCAUUGACUUAGAUAAAAAUGAAAUUCUUAAUAUCAUAAAACAAAAAAUACUAGAUCAACACAACAGACAUUGGAAAAAUAUAUUAAAAUUUAAGGACAAGACUUAUGCUAAUAUUCAAAAUGAAUUUCCAAAAAAAAAUGGUUUGACGGACAAGAAUAUAUAGACAGAACACAUGUCACCAUUAUUACAAGGAUGAGAACAGGACACUGCCUUACUAAACAGCACCUUUAUAAAAUAGGUAUAAACGAUAGCCCAUUUUGCGAAUGUGGAAAGAUUGAGGACCUGAACCACAUGUUCUUUGAAUGCCCUAUAAAUGAGAUACCCGAUCUUGAUAUCUACAAUUCUUUUAUAAAACUGGGCAUCAAAGCCCCUCUUAACAUCUCUGCUGUUCUAAUUAAACCCAAUAAAAAGAUUACAGAUAUCAUAAUUUCCUUUUUAAACUUUAAUAAAAUUAAACUGUAACGUAAUAUAUAUCAGUAAUAUUUUCAGAAUCCAUUAUCUCCAACAAAUCCAUCCUCUAUGCCCUCUUCCCCGCAUAUGUUUGUAUUACUAACAGAUACCUCCAUUACCGAAUAAUUUAUUCUUUAUUGAGCAAAGUAAAUAAAAUAAAACAUCUAAGGGUAAAAGUAGAUAGGAGUUCCCAGGAGCUCUGCUCGUCAAGCUGACUCCCCUAAUGAGCUGGCAGACUGCCUAGUUGCAAAGCCAAAAUAUUGACAAGAAGAAGAAGAAGAAGAUACGUAGCAGUAGCGACUGGAAACAUUCUUUGUGUGCAGUGCUGCUGAUGUAACAUGUGUUAAUAAAGUGGAAACGUCUUUGUACUGUAGUACCUACAUCAGAAAUUACUGGAAAGAACCUUAUGGACAUUUUAAUUGAAAACGAAAUGAGGGAGGAUAAUUUAGUCAAAUGGGUUUGGAAUUAGCAGGAAAUCAAGAAUUUAUCACAUUCAGCAUGUUUCGGAGCAGCGAGACAUUUGAUAUGUUUAGAAGAGCAGCUACCACACCUGGAAGUAGAUAUUGCAGAUGAGGUUGGAAAUGAGGAAAGGAACCAAAUAGCAAAUAUGCUCUUAUAACAAAUAAAAAUAUGUUUUUGAAUUAUUGCUUUUUUUUGGAAUACACAUAAUAAGUGCAA